CACGUAGGGCGCAAGCGUUGUCCGGAUUUAUUGGGCGUAAAGAGCGUGUAGGCGGUCAGGUAGGUCCGUUGUGAAAACUCGAGGCUCAACCUCGAGACGCCGAUGGAAACCAUCUGACUAGAGUCCGGAAGAGGAGAGUGGAAUUCCUGGUGUAGCGGUGAAAUGCGCAGAUAUCAGGAAGAACACCCGUGGCUAAGGCGGCUCUCUAGUACGGUACUGACGCUGAGACGCGAAAGCGUGGGGAGCGAACAGG
rnacentral:rRNA from 1 species